UACGCUGGCGGCACGCCUUAUACAUGCAAGUCGAACGAAGUAGCAAUACUUAGUGGCAGACGGGUGAGUAACAUGUAGGUAUCUUCCCUUUGGUGAGGAAUAACACGAGGAAACUUGUGCUAAUACCUCAUAAGUCUUUACGGAGAAAGCUUUAUGCGCCAAUGGAUGAGCCUGCACUUGAUUAGUUUGUUGGUGGGGUAAUGGCCUACCAAGACUUUGAUCAAUAGCUGAUCUGAGAGGAUGAUCAGCCACAUUGGGACUGAGACACGGCCCAAACUCCUACGGGAGGCAGCAGUAGGGAAUAUUGCACAAUGGAGGAAACUCUGAUGCAGCGAUGCCGCGUGAGUGAAGAAGGCCCUUGGGUUGUAAAGCUCUUUCGUCGGGGAAGAAAAUGACUGUACCCGAAUAAGAAGGUCCGGC
rnacentral:rRNA from 1 species